AACGCACCUUGCGCCCCUUGGCUAUUCCGAGGGGCAUGCCUGUUUGAGUAUCAUGAACACCUCAACUCUCAUGGUUUGCCCAUGAUGAGCUUGGAAUUUGGGGGUUUUGCUGGCCUGUGGUCAGCUCCUCUCAAAUGGAUCAGCUUGCCAGUGUUUGGUGGCAUCACAUGUGUGAUAAUUAUCUACGCUUGCGGUUGUCUGCCGAGUAACCUUUGGCGACAGAGGUUCGCUGGAGCUUAUAAAUGUCUCUCCUCAGCGAAGACAGCUUUUUGACCGUUCGAUCUCAAAUCAGGUAGGGCUACCCGCUGAACUUAA
rnacentral:misc_RNA from 1 species